rnacentral:rRNA from 1 species
UACGAAGGGGGCUAGCGUUGUUCGGAAUUACUGGCGUAAAGCGCGCGCAGGCGGUCUUCCAAGUCAGUGGUGAAAGCCCGGAGCUCAACUCCGGAACUGCCAUUGAAACUGUUAGACUUGAGGACGAGAGAGGUGAGUGGAAUUCCCAGUGUAGAGGUGAAAUUCGUAGAUAUUGGGAAGAACACCGGUGGCGAAGGCGGCUCACUGGCUCGUAUCUGACGCUCAGGCGCGACAGCGUGGGGAUCAAACAGG